rnacentral:lncRNA from 1 species
CCCAAAUUUGGCAAGGACACCCGAGAAAAGUUUGUCGGAAACUGAAUUAGAGAUCUAAGGAGUAUUUGCGGCUUAAGAGAGUCCUUGUUCACUCGAAUUUGCUGCCGCAUUUUAUCGAACAAGUGGUGUGCGGCGUUAUUGUUCUUCAAUAGCAAAAAAAGGCGAUCACACUCAAAGCAGCUUGGUUCUUGUUCUUUCUUUGCAGGUGCCAUUGAAGGGAAAGCAUUUCGCAUUUCAUCAUGGUUUGGUGCUAAUGUAGUUGAGUUCAUCAUCAACCUCGCUGAAGUUUCAAUAGCUUUUGUUCAAGAGAACAAAAUCCCUGCUAUUUGAUCAUGCUUUCCAAACUGUUCUGCGCAUAUAAAAGCAAUUGUCAGCUUCACAAAUGUUUCUAGCACCCAAAGACAGAAGAUCUGGGGGUAUCUUGCUUUUCGUGGGAGGAGUUCUCUCAGUUGUAAUUUCAGAGAUAAGAACAGACAUUUGUUGCAAAACAGAGAUCUGAACAAUUAUGCUAUUGCAAGACUACUGGAAAGUUAUCAUCCCAAACAGUGGAGCGACUGCAAAGUGAUAUAUACUGAUGCACAACUGGAGAAUGAAAAGCUGUAAUUAGUACAAAUGCAGCAAUGUUGGUAAAGGACCAAUGUGACGAAUACACAGGUUACAUUUCAGAUCCUCCUUUUUUCUUGAUAUCUUU